rnacentral:piRNA from 3 species
UGCCAUGGUAAUCCUGCUCAGUACGAGA